CAGUGAACCGGAGAAGAAAGUCUGAAAGCCUGAAACAGAAGCUCAGUCGCCCUUUUGUUUAUCCACCUAAUGACUUGAGUUUCAGUGGAGGACAAGUGCAGAGAAGAAGCAGCUGUACAUGUGAUCAACUAUCCAUUGUAACACUGACAGGCCCCGCUGAGGGAAAUGCAUAGGCGUGAGAGAGGGCUGCUGCAUGCCGACCUCUAGAACCAGGCCAGAGAACGAGCCCUGUGGGAACUGACUUGUGGAUGCUGGCUGCGUAAUGACUGCUCUGCAUUGAUGAAUGAAGGGGUAGCGCGGCCAGCCCGAGUGAAUAGCAUCUUGGGGGAACUGAGGUGAGGCACACAGGGGUGUUAGUGUGAGAGUGAGUGUGAGGUGGUGUUUGAAAUCACAAAAUCUAGCCUAUCCCGGCAUGAAGACACAUUGUUAUUUUUUUUAUGUCACGCGAUAAGGGACACACCUUGGAUCUCAAGUGUUAUCAUUACUGAUCGGAACUGUUUAUACCCAAACACCAGUAUACAGUUGUGCCAGCUUGAGUCAAAAAUGACCAUCAACAAACAAGUCCAGAGUCUAUGUGCACACACACACACACACACACACACA